UGCUGACGGGCUGGGCCGUGGGGGAGACUGGGGAGGCGGGGUGCCGGCCGGGGCGGCGGCGCGGGCUCGGGACGCCAGGGCUCCCGCUCCCUCCUCCCGCCCGAGCCAGCCUCGGGCGCCGGGCGCCUCUCCCGACCCUGAGCCAGCGCCAACGAAGCGCCGGGAGGCCCGGAGCCCGGCCCGCCACCGCCGCGGCCCGCGGAGGGAGCCGCCGCCGCCGUCGUUGUCGUUGCCGCCGCCGCCAGGCCGCGCCCCGCCCCUCCGCCUCCGCCGCCGCCGCCGCCGCCGCCGCUCCCGGUGAGGCUCGCGCUCGAGCUGCGGCGCCGGCUCCCGCCGCCUGGGCCCCGGGCCCGGCCCCUCCCGCGCCGCCCGGGCGAUGAGAAGCUGCUUCUGCGUGAGACGGAGCCGGGACCCGCCGCCGCCGCAGCCGCCGCCGCCGCCGCCCCAGCGGGGAACAGACCAGUCCACCAUGCCUGAAGUCAAAGACCUCUCAGAAGCCUUGCCCGAAACGUCAAUGGAUCCCAUCACGGGAGUCGGGGUGGUGGCUUCUCGGAACCGAGCCCCGACAGGCUAUGAUGUAGUUGCACAGACAGCAGAUGGUGUGGAUGCCGACCUCUGGAAAGACGGCUUAUUUAAAUCCAAGGUUACCAGAUACCUGUGUUUCACAAGAUCAUUUUCCAAAGAAAAUAGUCAUCUGGGGAACGUGUUAGUAGAUAUGAAGCUCAUUGACAUCAAGGACACACUGCCUGUGGGCUUCAUCCCAAUUCAGGAGACAGUGGACACACAGGAAGUGGCUUUUAGGAAGAAGAGGCUGUGCAUUAAGUUUAUUCCACGUGAUUCAACGGAAGCUGCAAUCUGUGACAUUCGGAUCAUGGGCCGGACCAAGCAGGCCCCGCCUCAAUACACAUUUAUUGGGGAACUGAACAGCAUGGGGAUCUGGUAUCGAAUGGGCAGAGUACCAAGAAAUCAUGACUCAUCUCAACCCACAACGCCUUCCCAGUCAUCAGCUGCUUCCACCCCAGCCCCCAACCUUCCCAGGCACAUUUCCCUAACGCUUCCUGCCACCUUCCGAGGCAGGAACAGCACCCGGACGGACUACGAGUACCAGCACUCCAAUUUAUAUGCCAUAUCAGCAAUGGAUGGUGUGCCUUUCAUGAUUUCAGAGAAGUUUUCUUGUGUUCCAGAAAGUAUGCAGCCCUUUGAUCUCCUGGGAAUCACCAUCAAAUCUCUAGCAGAAAUUGAAAAAGAGAAGUUGGCUACAUGUGAAACUGAGGCAUGAAGGAAGGACUCAGAUGAUCUCAGGACUCGGAACCCCACCUGGGCCUGUCAGAGAAUUAACAGCCCCUCACUUGGAGGAAGAGAACACAGAACAGCAAGAAAAGAGGCAGGUUCCUGGGACAAUGCGGAGUGGAAAUCUUGGACGCCUAAUGACAUAUUUCUGUCCAGGAAGAAAUUUGAACUCUGAAGCCGAACUUGAUUAAACCCCAAACCGAGAGACCUUGCCCAAUGGGACCACUCUGGGACUUUGACUUCUGGGUGUCGGAGCUUAAUUAAAAUAUUCAUCCAGCUGCUCUCCACUCACCAACAGGGCCCAGAGGAAUUAAACCAAUAAGCUUAAUUCUAUUAGUUCACCUGCCUGUGUACAUAGAGAUGCGGAAGACCAUUUACUGAUUCAGAAAAAAAAUCAUCAGACCCACCCUGUCAAUUCAGCGUGGGCAGCCAUCACUGCAGCUGCAAAAUCUUUCCCUAGCAGACGUAACAUUCAGAAAUCUCAGUCCCGGCUCUGAACACACACAGCUAUUUUUAAGACUCUUCCAAGAAAACCAAAAUGCCAAACGGGUCAAUACAAGGAUUUAUGUGCAUGCAUGUGUGUAUGUUAUGAUUUAUGUGUCACUUAUAAUAACAUGUAACAUUUACUUUGUGCCACAAUGCUGAGCCUUUCAUUCAUGUCUCAAGGAAACUGUCACUUCCACUCUAAAAAGUCAACACUAUCAUUACCCCCACUUGACAGAUGAGAAAACUGAGGCUCCGUGAGAUGAAAUGACUCAAAGCCCAGAAUUCUCAGACCACAGGGUCUGCUGAGCAUUUAACCCCUAGUAAUGAAGACUCUACUGAAAUCUGGAUCUUUGUUUUACAUUUUAAUGUAUGUCGUAUCUGCCACGUACAGACCUAGUAUAACAUUUGGAAGGUACACAAGCUGCAAAGUGAAAAGUCAGCCUCCCGUCAUACCCACCUCAGCGGCCUGCUCCCCUCCCCAAGGCAGCCGCCAUAGAUGAUUUGUCUCUCCUUUCAGAGUGGAGGCCGAUACCAGCCAGUGUGCACGUGGCUCUUUUUGUAAAAACAGAUAAGGAGCCUAACAGGUAUGCUGCUCUGCAGCUUGCUGAUCUCAUUUAAUAAUAUAUCUUGGGAGAGUUCUCCAUCUCGAUCCUUUGAAGACUACAUGUCAUUCCAUUCAAUAGAAGGAGCAGACUGACCCCUAUGGGACUGUCCAUAUUCAACCAUUUUUGACCAGCAAAAGAUGGAGAUUUCACAUGAUUCUGCCUGAAACCAUCAUUGCUUACUGAAUCUACUGUGAUGGGCAUUUGGUAGGUGAUUUCACAUCUUUGGCCUUAUAAACAGUGCCGUGAUGGGUAUCUUUUGCACACCCCGGUGGGUAUUAUCUGUAGGAUAAAUUCCUAGAGGUGCCACUGCCUCUGAGACCCUGGGUAAGUCGAGUUCCUUAACCCCGAGUGUAAAACAAAGCGGCUCAUUAGAUGAUUUCUGAAGCCCCUGGCGGGCUCUGCUGUUCUGCAAGAAUGUACCUUCCAUAUCUGUAAUUCUACAUCAUAGCUAGAGAUUCCUCACCCUGACCCUGUGAAUAGCACCGCAGCUCAAGCCCAGGGUCCCCCAAAUCACUGUGGAAACAAGUGUUUCCCACUAAAUGCUAACUAACUCCCUGCUGGCCAUAUUUGUCAACUAGAGAAUGAGACAUUUCCCGGUGAUCAAUACAAAUGGAAUAGAAAUCUAUCCUGGGCAGCAGCAGCGAGACUUGGUUUUUAAUAAGGGAACCUCCAGAGGAUAUUGCAUUCCUAUGACAACGGCUGACAGACCUUGAUUUUUAGUGUCAGAAGCUGUUUGAUGCAAAGGUCUGUGGCCGGGCCUGGCCAGGAGGUUGGGGGGCUGGUGAGGGGGUCGGGCUGGAACCAGGCUGGUCCUGAAAGGCUGUUGCAGAAGCCUGCCGGCCAGCCCAGCCCACUGCCCAUUCACGGCCCCUGUGGGCCACCUGUUCACGAAGGCAGCCACAUCUGCCAGCUGGGCUACGGGAGAACCAGCCGGGCCGGACAGCUAGCCAAAGAUGAUCCAUAGCCAUAGAUCUGGUUAUUUACGGCUUGCCCCUGGUCCCCAAUGACCGGACAGCUCUCAGACAAGAGCAGUUCAUCUUAAACAAGACCAGGUACUUGGGCAGAGGUGGCAGAAAACACAAAUGACCGUAUUGAUGGUCUCUUUUCUUGCUGUAAAUUAAUCCGGUAACAGAGUGACUCAGAGACACCCUGAGUUACUUGUGGUUUGCAGUCUUCAGAAGGAUUAGCUACGAACUGCCCAAGACAAACUAGGAUGUUCUGAAAACAUGAUUCUUGCCCAAACCGCUGAGACGACUCUGGGUUCCAUCUCUUGAUUCUUCUGCCUCUUUUAAAAUUAUCUGCCAAUAUAGACAAGGGCUGGGAAAGACGGCAGAGACAGGGAAGCAGCUGGCAUCAAAGAAGAUAGGAUCGGCGGUGAUUUAUUUCCAGCGACGUGAUAUUUUAGGUUAUUGUUGUUGUUGUAUGCGUGCAAUAAAUCAUAAAGUAUCCAUUAAUAGAGUGUUUUAUUCUCAAAAAAUAAUUUUUUAAAAAUUCUUUCAAGUGGAUGGGUCAUUUCUCAAGUUGCAUCCUCAGGUUUUAUUAAGAGAUGUGACAAUGAGAACAUGCCAAUACAUUUUUCCACUGGGAAAUUUCGCUACUUAGAAAAAGUCUUGUCCUUGUAAAGAAGUAGAAGAAAAACAAGAAAGGGAGCCUUAGAGAUGAUUGCUUAAAAUACUUGUUUGAAUAUAUGUAAAUGUAUUUAGGCCUUCGGCUUUUUAACCACCAAAUUCAUGUUUAGGAAUUUUAAGCACCACAAUGAGGUUUCUCUCCAAGUUUCCAAAGGCAGCUUCAAAACUGCAUGUACCAGAGCCUUUAAAAUCAGGUACAGAGGCCCCCGAGGAAGGUCCCAGGGGAUGAUUACAAGAUUCCUCUGUGCGACACAGCAACACCUGGCCUGGCUCACGGGCGCUCUCGGACCCUCUGUUGAAAGCAACUGACUAGGCUGAGGCUUAAAACUAAUCUUGUCCUCGGCUCCCUGGCAAGAGGUCGGCGGGCCAGUCUUCCAGAAGAUGAUCCCCAGCCAGAUCUGAAGGGCUCCAAGAAUAUAACAAGCUCCAAGAAUAUAACAGGGGAAGGGGGAGAGAGAAAGAAAGAAAAAGAAUAAAGGCAAAAUUAAUUUUUACAAUUAAGUAUAUAUUUUUUCCAUGUAGUUAAUUUCCAGCCGCUCACAUUUAUUGCACAUUAAUUAUGCAUACAGCUUUUGUGCGACUUAAAAAGUGAGGAAUGUGAUCCUUAUUCUUUUAUGGAGGCUCCGGCUGCCGUGCUGGAGGCUCUGCAGCUUCGGGUCAGAGGGGCAGGAGCCGAGUCCCCCUCUUCGAGCAGCCAGCGGCGGGCCACCUCACCCCCAGCCAGUCCAGGGCUCUCGGGUUCCCCCACCUCAACUUUCUUAAAAGCAUUUCCUAUACUAGGGGUGGUGAUCGGGGGCCGAGGGGGCCUGCACGAUUGGCUGGAUGUGUUUCUGGGCCGAAUCUUAGGGGAAGGACCCUGAACUGACCGCUGACCAGCCUCCCCCUCAGCUUGCCCUGGCCAAUAUCCAUGUUCAAUCCCACUGACCCAGGCCUGGGUGCGAAAACAGGAGUGAAAUGAACAAGGCCUUGGCCGGGAGGCAUUGGGGGCAUAUGUCCUUCCUCCAAGCCCCUUUGUGCACCACAGGACGCCAAAGAGGUGGGAGUAUUAAGUGGACUGUGAGAUGCUUCCCCCCAAUCUUAGCCUCAGAUUUCUGAUGACCCCUCAAAGGCCUCAGGAAGGGCUGGGCAUGUGGCCCCUCUGCCCACAUGCUGUGCGACACUAGAUCAGUGCCACAGCCUCUCUGUGCCCUCUCCGAAUCUGCAUGGAAGUUCCUUUGAACAGCAGCAGGCCCAUGCCUCUGUCCCUGGGAGAGCUCCGUGAACCUGACCCCUGCCCCCUGCAUCCCAGCUCAGAACCCACCAAAGAGGACCCUCCCAUACAAACAACAGGGUUCACCACUCAGCACACCCAGUGUGGGGUGCACAUAGCCCCAUCAUCAGCUGCCCGAACUUCAGCCAAAAGCAAAGACCCAGGAGCCUGAGACCCCUUGUCCCAUCCGUGGGGAGACCCUCUGGGACUCAAGAACAGUUGCCCCUAUUGGACCAGGACCCUUGAGCUCUGCUCAGCGCUUGGCUCCCCACGUCCCCAGAAGCAUGCUCCUCCUCCUCAGUCCAGGAGCCAGAGCUCCCACUGGAGCCAGCCUGGGUGAUUUCCUAUGCAGAUCCUGAGCAGACAGAGUCGGAACCCUCGCCCAGCCUCACUGCCCCCACUGCUGGGCACUUUGGCUAAAGUGGCUCCCCCUCUCUGGUCCAGUUCUGCAUCUGAAAAUGGGAUUUGGAAUUGGACAUAGAGCUAGGUGGAGCAUCAUCUCCGAAACACCCAGCCUAGUCUGAGCGCCCAGGAAAUGGCCUGAGGGGUGGACACAGAGAUUCAUUUUACAGCUGAGGAAACAGACUUUCAGAGGCGAGUUGCCCUGACCUGCCUGGAGGCAACGGGGCCAGAUGUGUGAAGGCUCCUAGUGCUGUCCUGGGUCCCGCCACCGUCAGCCCACCAGGGUUUAGAACACAACCCCUGAUGGUGGAGACAAGAAGUUAGAAGAGGAAACUCAUGCACCCGGUCCCCGUCCUACGGGCGCCAGCUGGGGCCUUCCACAUGGCAUAGGUGCCGCUCCCAAUCCUCGUCCGAGGUUCCCCAGGUUCACAACCACAAACCAGCCACCAGACGUCAGCCGCAGAAGCAAAGACUGCAGCGAGCAGAGCCGGUUUGCUCCCACCAGCCCAGCCCUGCAGCCCUAACAGAUCCCACCGCUGCCAGCAGCACGAGCUUCAUAACCAGGGACCUGACGACAGCCCUGGCUGCCACCCUAACCCCUGACCCAACCGUGGGAGGGGGUCAGGGGCCUGGGCCACCCCUUUUCUCUCUCUCUUUUUUUUUUUUUUUUUUUUUUUUUUGCGUUAAUAAAAACUGCUCUCCCAAUGGUCCUGCUGGUAUAAACUGUAAAACGUCUCUCCCGUUCUCUUCUGGAAUCCUGCAGUGACUUAGGACAAACUUGAAAUAAAAUCGUCAUCAUGAAGAAAUCAAUCGUGCAUAACAAUAACUACAUGUUUAACAUUUAUGACUCUGUGUUCUGACAAACUAAAACGUGAAACAUGCCAAAAUUUGGCUUUCAUAAAACAAUUUCUCAUCAAGUUCUUUCCUUUGACAAAAUGCCUCUGUGUCAUUCCUGGCUGGUGAGACUUGCUACAAACCAGUAGCAUUUCCAGAAACGGGUCUUGGGUUUGAGGCUUGUGUGAUCCUCAGAGCCUCCCUCUGGCUCUGUUAGAUUUCCUCUGAUUGACAAUAUUCACUCCUAGUGACAAUAUUCUAGCUUUCCUAGUAAAUGGCAGUGAGCAAGCACAUCACCCAGGGACAGGGGUGGGUGUCACGUCAUUCAGAAACAGGAAACUGUAUGAGGCAGCCAGUCACAGGCACCAGAACUCUGGUUUGUUUUUUUUUUUCUAACUGUGGUAAAACACAGAUCAUGCAAAAUUCACCCGCUUAACCAUAUUUAAAUGUACAGUUUGUGGCUUAAGUACCUUCACGGUGUUACGCAAUCAUCACCCCAUUCAUUUCUAGAACUUACUGCCUCUUGCAAAAACUGAAACUCUGUCCCCACUAAAUAAGAACUCCCCACUCCUCCCUCCCCAGCCCUGGGCAAUCUCCAUUCCAUUGUCUGCUCAUGAACUUGAUUUCUCUGGAUACCUCAUAUAACUGGAUUCAUUCUGCAUUGUCUUUUUGUGACCGGCUCCUUUCACUGAGUGUAACAUCCUCCAGGUUCACCAUGUUAUAGCACAUGUUUGAAUUUCACCCCUUUUUAAGGCUGAAUAAUGUUCUGUUCCCAAAGCCCUAUUUCUAACGCUACACAGAGCACAGACCCGCAUUCCGACAUGAGAACAGACCCAGAUCGGCAUCUUAAGACAACUGUACAUGCGCCUAAAUGCACCCCCGCCCCCUCCAGUCUCUCAUGCACACAUGAGGACCACCCUUUUGGACCUGUGGGAUCCUCAGUUACACCCACAGAUAAAUGCAGUCACCCCACAACCUCCAUCUGCGGCUCUCGCCUGGGCACACCCUAUGCACACCCCCCAUUAGACGGGGUUGUGGGAAACUUUGGAGACUCUUGGGGACAUCAUAGCUGGAGGGUCCCAGGGACCCAUCUCAGCCCUGGGUGGAGGGGGAUAUUUUGGCACUUGAACCCCUCCCCAUCCCUGUAUCCAGGUCCCCUCCCCAGAGGGGAGGGGAAAAGGAAAGGGUGCUCAGCACCUCGCAGGCCCCAUAGCUCCCAGUCCAAGCUUAGCUUCCAUGGCCCCAAGGGGAACUGAGGACUUGGUGAGGGGAACACCAGUCAGCCCAGGUCUCACAGAGAUUUGAGCCCAGAUUCAAUCUGCCUGUAAGCCUAGCAAACAGUAGUGAGCAAAAUGUGUUCUAACUUGUGAAAGACAGAACAUUUGUGAGGAUGGGGCCAAGCUGGAAAAACAGGACCCUCUAUGCCCAGGAGCAUGAAUGGGGUCCCAGGGGCAGCAUCUGGCCUGGUACGUGUUUCCUCUGCACACCCCGAGCACCUACUGUAUACUAGCAGGGCGCUCUGCUUUCCUAGAGAUCUCAAACUUUGGAAUGGAAGUGUCAUUCCAUCGUCCUCCAGCUGCCCCACAGGGGGACCAAGCUCAAAGGAAGCUUUGCUAACAGUAACACAACACAGCACCUCCUGAUCUACCAAAGAUCCCAAAACUGACGCCUCGACAAAUUCUCAAAAUCCCUCAAUCUCCAAUCACUGUUCAUUUUCUUCAGAUGAUAAUGGUGUUGUGUGUAAGAGAAGGUCCUUAUUCUUAGAAAUGCACACGGAAGUAUUUAGGGACACCUGAAACUUACUUUCAAAAAAAAGUAUUUUUACUUACAGCAAAAAAUACAUAGCUCCAGAGAUGUGUCUACACAUCUAUGUAGUUAUGUAGUUAUGUGUGUUGGCUCGGGAGGGGGUCUGAGAGUGUUCCUUGUAUUCUUCCCUCAACUCUUCUAUAUGUCUGGAUAUUUUUAUCAUAAAAAUUUGGGAAGAAAAAUCCCUCACCCUCAUCGUGCCCAUCCUGUGAUCACCCCUCUCCCUCUGCACCCUGUCAUCAUGAAGCGACCAGGAAGUCCAAACAAGAGGCUACAUCAAUGGCAGGACGUUGAAAGAAUGUUCUGCUGGGUUCAUAGGCAGGAAUAUGCAACUUCCUACCUCCCAGCAGAGGUGUGUGGCUCAGCCCCCAGCUGCUGAAGCAGCUCUUUAGGACAGGAGCAGGAAGCUGCCCCAGGGUGGCUUCCCCACCACACGCCAUCCCCAGGGACCCAGAGACAAACAGGAGGGCUGUCCCCAGCUCUCUCUCCUUAUGGCCUAGCUAUGCUCUGGGAGCUAUGCUCCCAAAUAGCUGUGAAGUGUGUGGCACAGAACCCAUUGCUCAUCAGAACCAGAAACCGGCCGGGCAUAGUGGCUCAUGCCUGUAAUCCCAGGACUUUCGGAGGCCAAGGUGGGUGGAUCACUGGAGGUCAGAAGUUUGAUACCAGCCUGACCAAUAUGGUGAAAUCCCGUCUCUACUAUUUUGGCAUGUGCCUGUAGUCCCAGCUACUCAGGAAGCGGAGGCAGAAGAAUCACUUGAGUCUGAGAGGCGGAGGUUUCAGUGAGCUGAGACUACACCACUACACUCCAGCCUGGACAGAGCGAGACUCUGUCUUAAAAAAAAAAAAAACAAAAAAAACAGAAGCCCCUCCAUGAACACAGGACCCGUCUCUUUCACUCUUGCUGUCUCCCCAGUGCCAAUCUAGGGCUUGGCACACAGUGGCUUACAGCCAGCGUUCUCUCUUUCACAAAUUAGAACACAUUUCAGGUCAUUCCCCACAGCCUGCCAGCCUGCAAGGAUAAGAGGUGAACGGCCCGCAAUGAGUGGGACCCUGGCCACCCCCGCCGACUGACCUGGGCAGCUGCAGCUGUGGGGUGAACAGACCGAAGCCAGGAGGAGGCUGAGGAGACUGGAGGAAAAGCCUCAAGAGCCGAAGCUGGGAUCAGGGCAGGAGGAAGGCAACUGGAGUCAGAGAUGGAGGCGGGCCAGGGCCAGGCUGUUCUGCAGCUGCCUUUGACCCCAGGACACCUUCCAAGUGAGGACCCCGGGACUGGGACCAGGCAGCCUCUCCCUUGGCCGCUCAGUGUCUGCCAGCUGGGAAGGAGGCCUCCCAGCCCAGGAAGAAGCACCAGAGAGGGUGUUUGUCUUAAUCAUCGGAGAUCAAAGACAAGACCCACCGGCUGGUGAUCCUCCUGGGGUAGCCAGGCCCUUUCCUCUCCUCCUGCCCCAGAGUGGCUGACUCCAAACCCCCGUUCCUUCCAGAGAGGUCCCCCAGGGCAGCCAGGGCUCAGGGAGGUCUCUGGACACUCCAUUCUCCCAGGGCUUAGAGGAGGAAGCAGGGAUGGGUGUCCAGAGACCUCAGAGCCUGAGGUCUUGCUGAUGUUAUGGCUGUGACUGCACAGAAAACUCAGUCAUGGGUAAGAGAAACGAGAGAGGGAUGGUGCAGCUAGAAAACCACUGUGUUCUGGGGGCCAACUAAGGCUCCCCACCUUCAGGAAGGACAGUGGUUGAGAGAAGGACCCAGGGAUGACAGAUUCUGUCCCAUUUUGCCUCUGAGCAGUGAGUCACCUAGUUCUCGGAGCCUCUGUUUGCUCUUCUGGAAAAGGGGCACACGGGUGCUACUGCCAUGAAUAGCAUGUGUCAAAUACUUGGCUCAGAGCCUGGUGUGUAGUGAGUGGCCUGUGGGCAGCCAGAGUUCCUGUCAUCAGUGCUGUUAGCCUGCAUGUGCUCGUGAUGUGAGGGACCUCCUGGCUGCUGCGAUUCGCUGAAAUACAUUUAAGGUGAUGCUUCCCCCGGGGGACCGCAGAAACUGCGUGAUUGGCAAGUGGGUCAGGAUGUUGAGUCCCGCAAAGUGUCCUGGGCCAGUGACACCCCCACCAGGGCCUGCCAUCUCCCUGCCCCACAUGCCUGGGUGCCCCAGGAGGUGGGCUGGCCUGUACCACCCGAGGACAGAGGCCAGCGACUUUGUCCCUGCUCUGUUUGCCAUGAAAGAGAAAAACCACCUCAGGGUUCAAAGGAAAAGAGGAAAACCCAGUAACUCGUCCCAGACGGUGUGUCCGCUUUAUCAAAGCUGAUUUCAGGGAGCAAAGUUCCCACCAGGAGAGGCCACAGCCUCAUUAGAGAGUUCUGGGAAUGAUGAAAAGCCAGGCCGCUGUGCACAUCCCUGAGACAAUUAGACCUUGUCCCUCCACCUUCAAAGGCAAUCUUGCUGUCUCUGCGCGCGUCUGCGCACGUGAGAGGGUAUGACAGUCUCUCCCUGGGUCUCUCUUCCUCCUCUUUGUAUUUCUUUUUGGGUCUCCCCAUCUUUCUGUUCUGUCUUCUUUCCAUCCAUCCUUUAACCCCUCCUGGCACCCACGCACUUUGCACGUUUGAGAUGAUCCCUAUUCUGCCCAGUGGGUACCCACACAUGUCCCAGACCAGAAAAAACCUGCCCCAGGAGACCCCACCCUCGUGUCCUCAGAGGAGGCCCCAGACAGUGCCCCCCGACACCAGACACUCAGCUUAGCCAAAAGAUGGGAAUGGCGCAAUCACUGCUACUGAUUCCUUCCUCUGAACUCUAAUUCUCCCCAUCCUGAGGACAGAAUGCAAACUAUUCCCCCACAGCAAACUCUGGUUUCCGGAUGCCUCUGUUGGAUGCAACAGGGUCUGAGUGGAGAUUCUUCUCCAAAUCCCGACUAGCAGCCUCCCCCAACCCCCAACCCUGUGGAACGUUUCUUACCCACCGCAGGAGUUACAAGCAAGGCAGUAACACAUUCCUCCAUUCCUCCACACCCUGGACGCUGCCAGGGCCUUAAACUGAGAGGCAUUCUACUGUCCAGAGACAUGGACUCAUCUCGGCGAUGCUACCCCAAACCAAUCCAUGCCCCAGAUGCAUGCAAAGCAGGCCUGCCCGGGCCUGCCCACACUGCCAGCACCCUGGCCCUUGGCACCACGAAACAUUCCUAGAACAGACACCACCACGUGUGAGAUGCAGAUUCUUACAUCAGACAGUUAUUGGAGGGGAUCGGCCUGUUCCUUUAAGAGAGAAGGCAAAUUCUACAUACUUGUUUUUGUCAUAACACUGGAGGAAACGGCGCAAUAUUUUUGAAAUUAGAAACAGCCUUGGGUCUCUACCUCUCGCUGAUGGUACUCGGGUAUUAAUCCAUUAAGGCAAUCAAAAGAGCUUAAAUAAAAGUCUGAAGCCCGCAAUAUACAUGUCAAUGAACAAGCGGUAAAACUUCCUGAAAAGGUGAUUUCAAAGCCAUAUUGCCCACGCUUGGCAAAUUGCAUAUUUAAUUAUUUUGUCAGUCCCUCUUUCUCCUCUAAUCUUUGGAGAAAAUGCCUUUGACCAUGCGAAACCAGUUAGGAUAAUUAAGGUGCGAUGGAACUAGGUGUCGGCUGAUUUCUCAGAAAGAUGCCAUCCUCUAACCUGGUAUGAGAUGUGUGCAGGCCCCGAAGGCAGACAGCAUUGUAAUGUCUCCCUUUCUAUAGAAAGAUCAAAGGUCUUUUGCCCCUUUCAAGAUGUUUGUAGAAUUUGUUUCCCAAUUAUCCCACAUUUGCGCACUGGGACAUCCUAGUUAACUCUUUGAUGGCACCUCUGGAAUUGGACUGUAAUUGACAUCAAGCCGCACCUCCCGGCUCCAGGCUGGAGGCUGAGAUUUCGAUCUUGGGUCUGUGCUCAGAGAGGGAAGAGGAUGGAUGGGAGAUAGAAAUGGGGUGCAGGUUUAGGAUUUUAGCCCCUUCGGUUCCAGCCCCACUCUGCACUCAGUGAUUUGGACUCUCCUCAUCGGUUCAGACUUGGUAACCUUGGGAAACUCCUCCCGCUCUGAUUCUGGUGUCAGUUGGGCCUUGGAUUUGGCCUUUGCAAACCAUUUUAAAAGCAAAGCCUGAAUUCCUUUGAAGACCAUUCUGGAAAAAAAUAUGUUGACUACAUUAUUUUCCCACAGAAGAAUAUUUCUCCUGGUCCGGGAAGAUGUUUAAAGAACAAAAAAGCCAUCAAACAUUUGAGGAAAGUGAGAAAAAGUGGUCCAGAUUUGAAGUUGUAGUUAUGGCAUUUUUUUAAAAAGCCCACCCAUCUGCACACUGAUAGUCAUGGCGUUUUGAAACUAAAUGGGGUUAGAAUAGCAGGCUGAGGCAGGUCCAAUGUGAAAAUAUUAAGCCUUUUCUAAUGUGAUUUUAUUCACUUUUCACAUCUCCUUCCUUCAUGUUCUGUCGAUCUUUUUCGACUCUGCAAAUAUUUUUUCCCAAUUGCUUCGUUCAAACAAUUUGUCUUCAAAAUCUUUGUCUUAGCGUAAGAAAGAAAGAGGGAAAGAGAAAGAAAGAACAAGAAAAACCUUUCUGAAUCUCAUUAAAUGUAAAUACCAUGACUUUCUUGGAAAUAAAUUUUUGAAAAAGCUCUCAACAAUUUGAAAAAUGAAAUACUAUUGAUACAGGGAACCACAUUCCCAAGGCCGCUCCAGGAAAUUUCUUUGAUAUUUUGUCUUAUUCUGUCCUUCCAUUUUAACCCUUAAAAAUUCACCAGUGUCCUACAAGUUUUAAAUUGAGGCAAUGAGGUCCCAGAGGCAUCAGAAGGAAAAGCUUCCCUUAUAACGCCAGCUGUUUUCCGUAUCCUCCCAGAGAAACGGGAGAUCACAGAGGCUUACACCGGCACUGCUACGUUCUCUACAAAGAGAAACUUGAAAACACCGCAUUUCCCUAAUAAAUAAUGCCCCUUCUGAGGAACUCCACCCCCCAUUCCAAGUCCCCUCCAAAAAUAUAUAUUGAAAGAAAAAAAUCACAAGGAAACGCAUUUUCUGCUCUUUGCCGCAGAAAAGGGCUGGUGAUGGCUUUUUGAUGUCUGCAUGAGCUGAGAGCAAGUAGCUUUAACCUGGGUUUCUGCUGCCAGAGAAGGGGCCUGGAAGGUUCUCCCUGUGAGGAGAUGGGGCAGCCCUGCUGGGACCCUGGGGAUUGCCAGAUUUAGCAAAUAGCAAUACAGGAUGUCCCAUUAAAUUUGAAUUUCCGAUGAACCAGGAAUAAUUUUUUUUUUUUUUUUUUGAGAUGGAGCCUCGCUCUGUUGCCCAGGCAGGAGUGCAGUAGCAGAAUCUCGGCUCCUGGAGUCAAGUGAUUCUCCUGCUUCAGCCUCCCAAAUAGCUGGGAUUACAGGCACUUGCCACCACACCCCACUAAUUUUUGCAUUUUUAGUAGAGAUAGGGUUUCACCAUUUUGACCAGGCUGAUCUCAAACUCCUGACCUCAGGUGAUCCAUCUGCCUCGGCCUCCCAAAGUGCUGCGAUCACAGUAGUGUAACCACCAUGCCCAGCCAGGAAUAACUUUUUUUAAGCAUAAGUAUACCCCAAAGGUUGCAUGGGACUUAUUUAUACUAAAAACGUAUUCCUGGUUCACAUGAAAUUCAUCUGCCCUGGUGCAUCCUGUAUGCUAUCUGGCAACCCUAGUAUUGGGUUCCAAAUAGGGUCCAGCAGGCCGAACAGGGACAUCCCAGUUUUCCCACCUAAAAGCAAAAUUGAGUCCAUGAAGAAAAGAGUGCUUUGUGCUGGGCUGGGAACACUACCUGUCCAGCCAUCAGCUUGCUGUGUGAUAGACUCGUCCCAUCUUCUCUCUGAGCCCCCAUUUUCCCAUCUGUGAACUGAGGGUUUGGUGAGGUCUGAGGCCUGCCAAAGGGAAGGAAGCCACCCAGCUCUGCCAGCCCUGCGUGAGUCCUUCUGGACUCCUCUCUUUGCAAGCCCCCAGGUUAGUGACCCCAUCCCUGCUUUAUGAUAAGGAAGCUGAGGCUCCGGGGGAGGACGUGCCCGGCUGGGUCACCCAACAAGCACACAGACACAGACACUGAGAAAUUUCAGUUGGAUUUUUUUUUAAGCACCAAACUGUUCUCUGUGGGGAGAAUCAGGACUUUGUAGGUUUCCUUGAUGUUUGUUUUACUGUUUACUACUGUGCGUUCUGAUAACUGGGGAUAGAGGAUGAAUUUUUUAGGCACUUUGGCUGCUCAAAGUCGGGACUUGUGGGCCUGGCUCUCCCCAGCCAGCUGGGGUCCAUGGCCCUGAGACAUGGGGUUUCCCAGACCUCUCACCUCCUGCACUGAGCUUGGGGAAAUGGCCUUAGAGGCUCCUAUGAGACCUAGGAUGGAUGGACGGCCGUUCUGGGGUGGCCCAGCCCAUGCUCCACAAGGCAGGGAGGGCUGGGUGGGCACAGGGCUUAAUUCAGAUCAUGUUCGCAGAGGAGAAUACCACUUCUCCAGGGAGUGCCCCCAUUCCUGCUGCACACAAAAUGCAUCCUGCCCCAGGUGCUGGUAUCGCCCUCCUGGCCAAAACGCAGUUAGGGGCUGCCAUCCUGCUUCUUAAGCUCCUCAGAAGAUGGUUCUCCCACCGUCUCAGCUGCAACCCUCCUUCAUUCAGUCAGUUCUUUUUCCUAUCCUCCUCAGCUCCCUCCUGCUGUAACAGCAGCCUUUUUGGUGCUGCAGGGCCUCCAGGGAGACAGGGAACAGCUGGUCAGCAUCUGGUCCUCUCCAUUAGCCAGGGCCUUGCCCCCUGGGCCUUCCGCUCCCUGGGCAGAAUAAUCCUGCUUCCUCUAACCUUUCGGCUGGGUCCCGUGCUCCAGGGCUUUCAUCAUGUCCGUCGUGCCUCUGAAGCCACUCCAGGCUCCCUGGCCCUCCUGCAGCUUCUGUUGGGCCAGGCCAGGCAGGCCAGCCAGGGCCGGGGCAGAGGGUGAAUGACCCUCUCCCCUCCCAGCCCAGAGAAGCAGGGGAGGGGGUGCAGCCCUGUCUAGGGAAGGAGGCAGAUGUCACAGCUGUGCCAGGUUCUUCCUACUGCAGGGGAGCCUGAGCUUGUCUUCUGGAAAAUGGGGACUUAUGCCCUUUCUCCAGUCUUUGGUAAGAGGGUGCCAUGCAGUGACACAGGUAGAGCCCCUGCCUCUGUUCCAGGCCACCCUGAACUUCUCUUCCCCCAUUGGAUGACCUGGGCCAAACGGUCUCACUUCUCGAACCCCAGCUUUUUCACCUAUAAAGGGGUAGUUAGGAAGAUUCCAGAGAUAAAGUCCUAAUGAGCCGGGCCCUGACCCACAGCGAGAGCUGUGCGGGACUCGUAUUUUCAGUGACAGUAUCGCUGUAUUAUCCUUAGUCAUCCCAGGCCAGGUAUGUGCACGCCCCGGGACUCAGCUGUCCGGCUUUACUCGACCCUAGAGUCCCUGGAUUCUGAACCUGUUGGAUUCUGCGGCCGCCUGCUCCUGCCUGGAGAAGGAGGGGGCCUGUAAACAUGGCCCAGUCAGCCCUUCCUCCUCAACACUUCCAAAAUCCACUUGGGGAUCUCCUCUUCCCAGAAGCUUCCAAGGCCCCAGUGAGAUGUCUCUGCCAGCCACAGGGCCACAGGAGGGCUGAAUCCAGUGGCCUUCUCCCUUCUCUCCCUGGCUUGGGUUGCUUUGUGCCACCCCGUGAGUGGGGUGUGUGUGUCCCAAGCCGAUAUGGGUACCUACAGACAAGGCCUGGUGAGCUGAACCGGCACACCCAGCAUUUAUAGACUUGAAUGAAAAUCAAGCUCACAGAAGCUCCAGCCACCACGCAGGCCUCAGGUCACGUCCCUCAGAGACCCACCACCGUGAAGGUGUCCCAGAAACGCCAGUUGUUGCCUGUCCAAAGACAGCAUAAGCUGUCUUUGAUUUAAAGUGAUCACCCCGUCCCACCCCCUAGUUCUCAGAGGCACCUCAUUCUGGAAAGAGCUGGAGAGGCCAUUUUGUUGGUCCCCUGCCUCUGACCUGGGCCAUCCCCCCAUCCUCCUCCCCACAGGCCUCCAUGAAUCCCCAAACCCCAAGUCUUGCUCUGCAGCUCACGGGGUUAGGGAUGAACCCUUGGUGGCAUCCACGACUUCCCCUGCCACAAAGUACAUCUGCCCGCAGACCCCCAGCACCUCACAGUCCACUUGGUGAUAGAAAUUGGAAAGAAUCCCGAAGAGGAGAAAGAUUUGUACUAAAUGCAAACUUCAUUACUCCUUUCUCGUUUUUUUUUUCUAGUGACUGAGCUACAGUGUAUUUUCCUAGCAAUCAUUUUUAACAUUCCCGAAAAUUGCCCUUAAGAUACACAAAGCGCGUUUUGAAUGAAUCUCACUUGAGAGGCAAGUUCCCUUCUCCCUCUAUCUCAGUUAUUAAGAAAAUAGGAAGUUAAAUUUGUCGAUAAUCACAUUUCCACAGCAGAUUGUCAAAGGGGUCACUCUCCCAAAACGAACAAGAAAAGAAAACCAAGAAACACAAAAAGAGAACGUCUUGACUUCUGUCUGCAAUUCCCGCCAAGGUGUGUAGGUUUGAGGGUGGGAUUUUCCAGCCUCAAACAGCAGUAAGCCCCAGGCUCCCCCAGGCUCCUUCAGGUCCCCCAGGCUGCGUAAGUGGGUCAAGGCAUCAGAGUCAGACCUUACCUGCGGGCAUCCCGAGGGGCAGGCUGGGCUCUGGAGCUGAGCACGCCAGGGCUGGGCCGCAGAAGGUGAAGGCGCGGUGCGUGGAGGCUCUAUGUGGACAGGUGCACGGGCCCAUCUCUCUCCGAGGCGCUACCUGCGGUUUACUGGACGUUUAUUAGAAGCUCACACAAUAUCAUGAAGCACCUGCAGGCAAUAAAAUCCCUUACAUGUGUGAGGCCUUGAGGAAAUUAACGGCUCCUCCCUGGGGAUGCAUAUUUUGUGAAGAUGUUUAUUACAGAUGAAGUGCUCCCGGGGCGGGACAUUAACAAGUUGUAGAGUGAUAAAAGGAUUUUUAUCCUUUCUCAGUGACAGAAGUAGGAAGAAGGCUUUCAUGGAAUCUAUAAAAGACCAACUUCCUAAUGAAUUUUCUUAACUCUUUAUUAAUGGGGUUGGCUGAGUGGAGUCGGGGUCCGUGGUAUGCUGCGCCAUUGGACAAGCGGGUAUGGAGAAGGAGAAGGGGUGUGAGCCCCCCCAAACCCCACCCCAUGCUGGAUUGAGAGCGCAUGAGACGGCUCCGAGUGAGAGUCCCAGGCCCGGAAGCCCAUCCUUGAGCGUGCUUGCUCCAGUGAGAAAGGCACUGCCCCAGGAAACUCAUUUGGAGGGCCCUCUGGGUGAUGGAGUGAGUCAGGCCAAAAGGCAGGUUCCGAGCCCCACUUUUUAACCCCCCGUGUUCCGCUCCAGCCUGCAGGCCAUUACUGAGAUGAAAGCCGGGAGAAUGCCUUUGGACCACAACUGCGGAAUCUAAUUGAAUUAUAUGAACGCAGUUAAACGUCUGCUUCAGAGAGGCAGGGCUCACUUUCAAGAUUGGAUGCUUCAGGAGUUAAUGGGCUAUUUGAACAAUAUAGGCCGAGAGCCGAACACAGGUGGGCUGUGUUAAUAACUUUAUUUAGACUUGCUUUUUUUUUCCCCUUUGAGGCGCACAAGCCUUCCAUUAAUGCAUUCAUUAGAGUUUAUGGGCAGGCUCUGGUUUUCUCCUAAUGACACUGUCCAGACCCGGCUCCCAGCUAAUUGAGGCCAGCUGCCCAGCCACCCCGCCCCAGCCUCAGGACCGGGUGUCACCAGGAUUAGCUAUGGGGCUGGGGCCGGAGUAUCGGGGGAGGAGACCUGCCGCCUUCUCUAGGUACAGGAGGGGAGGGGUCAGGGACACCCCAGCACUACGCAGGCCACUGAAGGAGCCCAGAUGGGUGGGCUUCCAUCCCAACAUCCCUGGAACAGCCUCUGCCACCACGACUGUGGCCCCCUCCUGGUCCUCCUUCUCUCUGCAGUCACACUGAUGUUCCAAGAGACCCGUCCAACCCCAUUACACCCUGCUCAACAGCCCACUGUGGCUCCCCACUGCCCUCAGAAGAAAAUGCAGACUGCCUCUGCCCAGCAUUCUUCUCAUAGGCUCCAGCCUCCUCUCACUCUCACCUGGUCCUGGUAGCAGAUGCAUCCCUGCCUCCCUCCUCUCCUUGUUGUGGGCCAACAGCCAGCAAUGCUUCACCCUCACCCAUGUGAACCCACCCUCUCCCAAACCCAAAAGGCCCAAUUCCAAUGCAUCCUCCUCCAGGAAGCCUUCCUUUUCUGCCUGGAUUGGAAUCCUACGAAUGAGUGUGUGUCUUAUCUUUGCGCUCUCCUUCCACUAGACCAUGAAUACCUCGAGGGCAGGAUCCAAGUUUGUUAUGAGUAUUAAAAAAAACAAUAACACAGCCAGGCACAGUGGCCCAUGCCUGUAAUCCCAGCACAUUGGGAGGCUGAGGCAGUCGGAUCACUUGAGGUCAGGAGUUCGAGACCAGCCUGGCCAACAUGGUGAAACCCUGUCUCUACUAAAAAUACAAAAAUUAGCCAGGUGUGGUGGUGGGCACCUGUAAUCCCAGCUACUCAGGAGGCUGAGGCAGGAGAAUCACUUGAUCCCGGGAGGCAGAGAUUACAGUAGCUGAGAUUGCACCACUAUACUGCAGCCUGGGCUACACAAUGAGACUCUGUCUCAAAAAAUAAAGAUAAAAGUAAAAAUAACACACAAGUGGUCACGUCCCCACUUAUGAAGCAUUUACUAUAUGCCAGUUGCUUUGUAAGCAUCAGCUUAUUAAACCUCGACAGCACCCAGAAGGAACGUUUUAUUGUCCCCAUUUCACAGAUGAGGAACCUAAUGCUCAGGGACAGAACUUUGCUUGCUCAAGGACACCCAGUCCUAUCACUUACCAUCCAGGUGACCUCCCUUCCCCUCCCCGAUGACUGCAUCUGUAUCAUGAGAUUGUAGCAGUGGCAUGCAGGAAUCGGUCUGUAUCAGCUUGCAAGAGCUGCUUGUUAAAUUUUCAAGAAUUAAUGUUACGAGCUGGUUGUUAAAGGCAGACUUUGUUAAACAUUUAAAUUAUGUAAAUGUAAAUAAAUGAUAUUCAAAUAAAAGGUAAUAAACACUUCAAACUCA